rnacentral:rRNA from 1 species
UGGGGAAUAUUGCACAAUGGGCGGAAGCCUGAUGCAGCAACGCCGCGUGAGUGAUGAAGGCCUUCGGGUUGUAAAGCUCUGUCUUUUGGGACGAUAAUGACGGUACCAAAGGAGGAAGCCACGGCUAACUACGUGCCAGCAGCCGCGGUAAUACGUAGGUGGCAAGCGUUGUCCGGAUUUACUGGGCGUAAAGGAUGCGUAGGCGGAUUUUUAAGUGAGAUGUGAAAUACCCGGGCUUAACUUGGGUGCUGCAUUUCAAACUGGGAAUCUAGAGUGCGGGAGGGGAGAAUGGAAUUCCUAGUGUAGCGGUGAAAUGCGUAGAGAUUAGGAAGAACACCAGUGGCGAAGGCGAUUCUCUGGACCGUAACUGACGCUGAGGCAUGAAAGCGUGGGUAGCAAACAGGAUUAGAUACCCUGGUAGUCCACGCCGUAAACGAUGAGUACUAGGUGUA